rnacentral:rRNA from 1 species
GACGGGGGAUGCAAGUGUUAUCCGGAAUAAUUGGGCGUAAAGCGUCUGUAGGUGGUUUACCCAGUCUGUUGUUAAAAAUCAGGGCUUAACCCUGAUCCGGCAACAGAAACUAGUAGGCUGGAGUACGGUAGGGGCAGAGGGAAUUCUCGGUGUAGUGGUGAAAUACGUAGAUAUCGAGAAGAACACCAAUAGCGAAAGCACUCUGCUGGGCCGAAACUGACAUUGAGAGACGAAAGCUAGGGGAGCGAAAGGG